CGCGACCCCAGGUCAGGCGGGANUACC
rnacentral:rRNA from 1 species